rnacentral:rRNA from 1 species
AGUGAACGCUGGCGGUAGGCCUAACACAUGCAAGUCGAACGGCAGCACAGUAAGAGCUUGCUCUUACGGGUGGCGAGUGGCGGACGGGUGAGGAAUACAUCGGAAUCUACUUUUUCGUGGGGGAUAACGUAGGGAAACUUACGCUAAUACCGCAUACGACCUACGGGUGAAAGCAGGGGAUCUUCGGACCUUGCGCGAUUGAAUGAGCCGAUGUCGGAUUAGCUAGUUGGGGGGGUAAAGGCCCACCAAGGCGACGAUCCGUAGCUGGUCUGAGAGGAUGAUCAGCCACACUGGAACUGAGACACGGUCCAGACGACUACGGGAGGCAGCAGUGGGGAAUAUUGGACAAUGGGCGGAAGCCUGAUCCAGCCAUACCGCGUGGGUGAAGAAGGCCUUCGGGUUGUAAAGCCCUUUUGUUGGGAAAGAAAAGCAGCAGGUUAAUACCCCGCUGUUCUGACGGUACCCAAAGAAUAAGCACCGGCUAACUUCGUG